UAGAUACCCCGGUAGUCCAUGCCGUAAACGAUGUCAACUAACUGUUGGGACCUUUAGGUCUUAGUGGUGGAGCUAACGUAUUAAGUUGACCGCCUGGGGAGUACGGCCGCAAGGCUAAAACUCAAAUGAAUUGACGGGGGCCCGCACAAGCGGUGGAGCAUGUGGUUUAAUUCGAUGCAACGCGAAGAACCUUACCUACCCUUGACAUCCUAAGAAUCUAUUAGAGGUAGUAGAGUGCCUUCGGGAACUUAGAGACAGGUGCUGCAUGGCUGUCGUCAGCUCGUGUUGUGAAAUGUUGGGUUAAGUCCCGUAACGAGCGCAACCCUUAUCCUUAGUUGCCAGCACGUAAUGGUGGGAACUCUAGGGAGACUGCCGGUGAUAAAUCGGAGGAAGGUGGGGACGACGUCAAGUCAUCAUGGCCCUUAUGGGUAGGGCUACACACGUGCUACAAUGGCCAGUACAGAGGGCUGCAAACUUGCGAAAGUAAGCAAAUCCCAGAAAGCUGGUCCUAGUCCGGAUUGGAGUCUGCAACUCGACUCCAUGAAGUCGGAAUCGCUAGUAAUCGCGAAUCAGAAUGUCGCGGUGAAUACGUUCCCGGGCCUUGUACACACCGCCCGUCACACCAUGGGAGUGGGUUGCAAAAGAAGUGGGUAGUCUAACCUUCGGGAGGGCGCUCACCACUUUGUGAUUCAUGACUGGGGUGAAGUCGUAACAAGGUA
rnacentral:rRNA from 1 species